rnacentral:rRNA from 1 species
UAGGGAAUCUUCCACAAUGGACGCAAGUCUGAUGGAGCAACGCCGCGUGAGUGAAGAAGGUUUUCGGAUCGUAAAGCUCUGUUGUGGGUGAAGAAGGAUAGAGGCAGUAACUGGUCUUUAUUUGACGGUAAUCAACCAGAAAGUCACGGCUAACUACGUGCCAGCAGCCGCGGUAAUACGUAGGUGGCAAGCGUUGUCCGGAUUUAUUGGGCGUAAAGCGAGCGCAGGCGGAAUGAUAAGUCUGAUGUGAAAGCCCACGGCUCAACCGUGGAACUGCAUCGGAAACUGUCAUUCUUGAGUGCAGAAGAGGAGAGUGGAAUUCCAUGUGUAGCGGUGGAAUGCGUAGAUAUAUGGAAGAACACCAGUGGCGAAGGCGGCUCUCUGGUCUGCAACUGACGCUGAGGCUCGAAAGCAUGGGUAGCGAACAGG